UUGAGAUACCACUCUUUCUUAUUUGGGUAGCUAACCAGCUUGAGUUAUCCUCAAGUGGGACAAUGUCUGGUGGGUAGUUUGACUGGGGCGGUCGCCUCCCAAAUAAUAACGGAGGCUUACAAAGGUUGGCUCAGAACGGUUGGAAAUCGUUCGUAGAGUAUAAAGGUAUAAGCCAGCUUAACUGCAAGACAUACAAGUCAAGCAGAGACGAAAGUCGGUCUUAGUGAUCCGGUGGUUCUGUGUGGAAGGGCCAUCGCUCAAAGGAUAAAAGGUACCCCGGGGAUAACAGGCUGAUCUCCCCCAAGAGCUCACAUCGACGGGGAGGUUUGGCACCUCGAUGUCGGCUCAUCGCAUCCUGGGGCUGGAGCAGGUCCCAAGGGUAUGGCUGUUCGCCAUUUAAAGCGGUACGCGAGCUGGGUUCAGAACGUCGUGA
rnacentral:rRNA from 1 species